AUCUGAUGAUGAGGGCAGCUUGUGCAUAGUAUCUUGAAUCUCUCCCAGUACUCAUAUAAACUUUCUCCAUGUAGCUACCUCAUUCUUGAAAUCUCUUUUUUGAUUGU
rnacentral:snoRNA from 1 species